rnacentral:rRNA from 1 species
AGAGUUUGAUCCUGGCUCAGAGCGAACGCUGGCGGCAUGCUUAACACAUGCAAGUCGCACGGGCAGGUUUCGGCCUGUCAGUGGCGGACGGGUGAGUAACGCGUAGGGAUCUAUCUCCGGGUGGGGGACAACCGUGGGAAACUACGGCUAAUACCGCAUGACACCUGUGGGUCAAAGCUCGCAAGAGCGCCGGGGGAGGA